rnacentral:Y_RNA from 1 species
GGCUGGCCUGAAGGUAGUGAGUUAUCUCACUUGAUUGUUCACAGUCAGUUACAGAUUGAACUCUUCGUUCUACUACUUUCUCUCCUCCUUACCACUGCACUUGACUAGUCUUAA